CAGGAAACGGCUGGGCUGAGCGCAGGUGGAGGAUGCGCCCGAGGAGGCAGUUCGCCAGUGGUAAAAAGUGUUACAACCUGCACAUUCUGGAACUAUCUACCUUAUGCCAGGACCUUAUGCUCCAUCUACCACCAGUGCUGAGGGCCUUGGGACCAGCCAGGUGGUGACCCAGAUCCUAAAAUCUGCUGCCUCCACCCCUUCCGAUACAAAUUGAUCCAAGCAAGACUGUCUGGGAAGCAGCCUUCUGAGAUGGAGCUCAGUCCAUAGGAGUGCUCUUGGGAUCAGGACCCAGGAAUGGAAAGAAGCUCACCCUCAGAGAAGCAUUCUGCUGUCCUUGACACUGGAGGUGGACCAGCGUGUUUAGAAGAUUAAAAAAACGCCCCCGGCCUCAUUCCUUGCUAACAUUCCUGAAGGUGAUCUGGUACCUUGAACACACGUACGUGUCCACCUGAUGCCUCAGCCUCAUUCAUCAACCCACCCAGUGACUCUUACAAAGGCUCAGGGAAGCUAGAAAAGGACCCUGGGGGCCGUCCAGCUUCUCCCCCGCAGCCCUCUUAUAGGAAGGCAGUACCGUUCCUUACAGGCUUGUGGUUGCUCAUUAGUUUUCCUAUUACUCACUGUUCAAUUCAUUUUUGUGGAAGCAGUUGGCAAAAUAAUAAAGCAUUUGAAGACAUCUUUCUAAAUAGAUGAAUUUAUUUAAUGGUUUUUAGAAGAGCACCAUACAAAUUGAGAAUGGGUAUAUAUUUUUAUUAUUUUUUUAUAGUUCCAUAGUCUUUGUAAUUUAUAUAUUACUUUUAUAAUUUAUAUAUUGCAUUUGUAAUUUAUAAAAGCAAAAAAACUAGGCGAUCCUGGGUGAGUCAGUCAUUAAGCAUCUGCCUUCAGCUCAGGUCAUGAUCUCAGGGUCCUGGGAUCAAGCCCUGCAUUGGGCUCUCUGCUCAGCGGGAAGCCCGUUUCUCCCUCUCCCACUCCCCCUGCUUGUGUUCCCUCUCUCACUCUGUCAAAUAAAUAAAUAAAAUAAAAACCUUUAAACAAACUUAUUUUCCUAUUUUAAACAAAAAGAAAACCCUGACAUAUUGGCAUGGCUAACUUGUGCAUAAUCAGGCUAGGCAUCCAGUCUUAAUGGUUAUCUAAAUGUGAGUAUAGAACGAAUUAUACUGAAAGGUUUCUCAGUGGAAAACUUGGAAAAGAUAUUUAAAUUUUAUUUAUUUAUUGAAGAUUUAUUUAUUUGAGAGUGAGUGAAAGGGAGAUCACAGAGAGGGAGAGGAGACUCCCACUGAGCAGGAAGCCCAACUCGGAGCCAGGUCCCAGGACCCUGGGAUCAUGACCUGAGCCAAAGGCAGAUGCUUAGCGAACUGAACCACCCAG